rnacentral:rRNA from 1 species
GUCGAACGGUGAAGCCCUUCGGGGUGGAUCAGUGGCGAACGGGUGAGUAACUACGUGGGCAAUCUGCCCUGCACUCUGGGACAAGCCCUGGAAACGGGGUCUAAUACCGGAUACGACCUUCCUCCGCAUGGGGGUUGGUGGAAAGCUCCGGCGGUGCAGGAUGAGCCCGCGGCCUAUCAGCUUGUUGGUGGGGUAAUGGCCUACCAAGGCGACGACGGGUAGCCGGCCUGAGAGGGCGACCGGCCACACUGGGACUGAGACACGGCCCAGACUCCUACGGGAGGCAGCAGUGGGGAAUAUUGCACAAUGGGCGAAAGCCUGAUGCAGCGACGCCGCGUGAGGGAUGACGGCCUUCGGGUUGUAAACCUCUUUCAGCAGGGAAGAAGCGCAAGUGACGGUACCUGCAGAAGAAGCACCGGCUAACUACGUGCCAGCAGCCGCGGUAAUACGUAGGGUGCGAGCGUUGUCCGGAAUUAUUGGGCGUAAAGAGCUCGUAGGCGGCCUGUCGCGUCGGAUGUGAAAGCCCGGGGCUUAACCCCGGGUCUGCAUUCGAUACGGGCAGGCUAGAGUGUGGUAGGGGAGAUCGGAAUUCCUGGUGUAGCGGUGAAAUGCGCAGAUAUCACGAGG